ACCUUUGUAGCAGAUUUCAGUACUAAAAAGAGGUUUAGUCAUAAGGGAACGCUGUGCAAAUCGGCGACAGUACCCGCUGCUGUAAUUCUCUGAGAAUCCGCACACUAUGCCACUGCGCCCAGCGUGGGAAGGCGUUGCGAGGGAGAGAUAAGUCAGAAGACCUGCUGAAAAAGUAAACAUAUU
rnacentral:ncRNA from 2 species